rnacentral:rRNA from 1 species
AUUGAACGCUGGCGGCAGGCCUAACACAUGCAAGUCGAGCGAGCGGCGGACGGGUGAGUAAUGUAUGGGGAUCUGCCUGAUGGCGGGGGAUAACUACUGGAAACGGUAGCUAAUACCGCAUACCAUCAGAUGAACCCAUAUGGGAGUAGCUUGUAGGUGAGGUAACGGCUCACCUAGGCGACGAACCCUAGCUGGUCUGAGAGGAUGAUCAGGCACAGUGGGACUGAGACACGGCGCAGACUCCUGCUGGAGGCAGCAGUGGGGAAGAUUGUACAAUGGGCGCAAGCCUGAUGCAGCCAUGCCGCGUGUAUGAAGAAGGCCUUCGGGUUGUAAAGUACUUUCAGUCGGGAGGCGUUACCGACAGAAGAAGCACCGGCUAACUCCGUGCCAGCAGCCGCGGUAAUAC